rnacentral:rRNA from 1 species
AGCGAACGCUGGCGGCAGGCCUAACACAUGCAAGUCGAACGGACCCUUCGGGGUUAGUGGCGGACGGGUGAGUAACACGUGGGAACGUGCCUUUAGGUUCGGAAUAGCUCCUGGAAACGGGUGGUAAUGCCGAAUGUGCCCUUCGGGGGAAAGAUUUAUCGCCUUUAGAGCGGCCCGCGUCUGAUUAGCUAGUUGGUGAGGUAACGGCUCACCAAGGCGACGAUCAGUAGCUGGUCUGAGAGGAUGACCAGCCACACUGGGACUGAGACACGGCCCAGACUCCUACGGGAGGCAGCAGUGGGGAAUCUUGCGCAAUGGGCGAAAGCCUGACGCAGCCAUGCCGCGUGAAUGAUGAAGGUCGUAGGAUUGUAAAAUUCUUUCACCGGGGACGAUAAUGACGGUACCCGGAGAAGAAGCCCCGGCUAACUUCGUG